GACUAUGAGGACAAUUUGUUCACAACUUCUGCCACCCCAAUCAUUGUCAGAUGUAAUCUAGCUAGCACUGCUGGCUAAGGUGGACCCUUUGUCCUUCAUCACUCUUGCACAAGCCUCCAGACUCUGUAGACUGGUCAACAAGGACACCCAUGACAGAGAAGAACUGUUCUUUGUCAUGAAUCUACGAGUAACUGCAGUUCUCUUGUAGGAAUCUCCAAAUAAAUUCUGAAGGAAUAUAAAUUCGAACAAGGCACCCAUAAGAGUGGAUAUAAAACACAUGCACCAUAUCAGCAGGCAGAU
rnacentral:snRNA from 14 species